GAUUCGUUAGCUCAGCUGGUAGAGCAUUUGCCUUUUAAGCAAAGGGUCUCGGGUUCGAAUCCCGAACGGAUCA
rnacentral:tRNA from 1 species